rnacentral:lncRNA from 1 species
AUCUUCAGCUGCCAGAAUCGUGCGGGAUUCACAGAUUUCUGUGAGGAUGACAGAAACCAGCUGCAGGUGGUACAGGUGACCUGCAGGGACAAACAGGCUAUCAGGUAACAAUCGAGCGUCUGACUGGAGGUUUUAUCCCCUGAUAAACGGUGACGUUCGUGUUGCGUUUCCAGGAACACAACCUGCGAUCUGCUGCUGCAGCUCAGCCAUGCUCGGCCAGCGUGUGAGCUGCGUCAAGCUGCGGUCUCGGCGCUGCACAACAGCGGAGAGAGACAGAUCCGAGUCCGGAUCCAAGGAGAGGUGGAGAGAGUCGGCCGAGACCUUUGUAAGCCCGCAGCGCCAUCCAGUGGCCGCUUUGUGCGCUGCACAUCCGGGUCCUCCCUGGAUGAGCUGUGUCAGGCCAAAAAGGCGCAUGAACUCACAUGGUAAACCGCUAUUUUCCCGCAGUUAUUUCAUUUUCCUGUUUAAUUGCUUCUCUUCCUCCACAGCUCUGUCAUAGAACCCGACUCCGCUCCGGUUCCUCAGAACCGCGGGAAGCCCUGCAGUGGUGAGUUCCAUCCUCAGAGGUGGUUUUGCUGAGCACAUGGUUUUCUGAUCUAACUUGUCUGCACUCCAGCAGGAACUCCUCGUUUUUGUGACUGCAGCACUUUUUGCAAUUCUACACGUGAGUGGAGACAAGCUGCUGUUUUUUAUCGUUAAGAGAUUGAUCGACGUCAGUAAAAGGCGCCUUAAACUGAACCCCGGCGGAUGUUUUUCUGCUGUUUGCUCAUUUUCAGGCCAGUUCUUCGCUGUAAAAAUCGACGUCAACCGUGCGUCUGUCGAUACCGCCUUCCUGCAAAAUUUGGUCGGUUAAAGUUUAUUGUUUAAGGUGUUUUUGUGUUUGCGGCAGCUGAC